UACGUAGGGUGCAAGCGUUAAUCGGAAUUACUGGGCGUAAAGCGUGCGCAGGCGGUUAUGUAAGACAGAUGUGAAAUCCCCGGGCUCAACCUGGGAAUGGCGAUGGUGACUGCAAGGCUAGAGUUUGGCAGAGGGGGGUAGAAUUCCACGUGUAGCAGUGAAAUGCGUAGAUAUGUGGAGGAACACCGAUGGCGAAGGCAGCCCCCUGGGUCAAAACUGACGCUCAUGCACGAAAGCGUGGGGAGCAAACAGG
rnacentral:rRNA from 1 species